CGUGGCGUUUCUCCACACCCAUCCCUUCCCUGCUGCUGGCCCCAGCUCUCCUCACGUGCCCAGGUGUGAGGACCGAUCGAUGAGGACUGCUGCCUCCUACCCAGCCUGGGUCUCUGAAGCUUGGCUAUCAAAGGACUCAGUAUUUGCCUGGUCUCUCAGAGCCGACAGCUGCUGGUGGCCGCGCCCUUCUCCAUGCAGCCCAGAUAGAGGGGCCAGUGUGAGUACUGGAUGCGUUUCUGAUUUCAUCUCAGUUCCACUGCAGUUCUU